AGAGUUUGAUCAUGGCUCAGAACGAACGCUGGCGGCGUGGAUAAGACAUGCAAGUCGAACGAGACUUUUCGUUGUAGCAAUACGAUGGAAAGUUUAGUGGCGAACGGGUGCUUAACACGUGGGCAACCUGCCAUGAAGUGGGGGAUAGCUCGCCGAAAGGCGAAUUAAUACCGCAUGUGAUUAGAGAGGACAUCCUUUCAAAAUUAAAGUCGGGGCAACCUGACGCUUCUUGUGGGGCCCGCGGCCUAUCAGCUAGUUGGUGAGGUAACGGCUCACCAAGGCUUUGACGGGUAGCUGGUCUGAGAGGACGACCAGCCACACUGGGACUGAGACACGGCCCAGACACCUACGGGUGGCAGCAGUCGAGAAUUUUUGACAAUGGGGGAAACCCUGAUCGAGCGACGCCGCGUGGAGGAUGAAGGUCUUCGGAUUGUAAACUCCUGUCAUUUGGGAACAAGGUGCACACGUUAACUGCGUGCGUAUUGAUAGUACCAGAAGAGGAAGAGACGGCUAACUCUGUGCCAGCAGCCGCGGUAAUACAGAGGUCUCAAGCGUUGUUCGGAUUCAUUGGGCGUAAAGGGUGCGUAGGCGGCGCGGUAAGUCGGGUGUGAAAUCUCGGAGCUUAACUCCGAAACUGCAUUCGAUACUGCCGUGCUUGAGGACUGGAGAGGAGACUGGAAUUUACGGUGUAGCGGUGAAAUGCGUAGAUAUCGUAAGGAAGACCAGUGGCGAAGGCGGGUCUCUGGACAGUUCCUGACGCUGAGGCACGAAGGUCAGGGGAGCAAACGGGAUUAGAUACCCCAGUAGUCC
rnacentral:rRNA from 1 species